GGAGAGGUGACCGAGCGGCCGAAGGUGGCACCCUGCUAAGGUGUUGUGCGGGUAACCGCACCGAGGGUUCGAAUCCCUCCCUCUCCG
rnacentral:tRNA from 2 species